CCCUAAAGACCUUCCAAUGGGACAAGACGUGCAGGUGUAGGACAGUGAUAUUGAUGAUCCUGACCCUGUGUAGGUCUAGGUUAAUAUGUGUGUUUGUGUGUUACUUUUUAACAGAAAAGUUUAAGGCAUAAAAAAAUUUUAAAAAUUAAAAAUAGAAAAAACCUUAUAGAAUAGGGAUAUAAGGAAAAUAUUUUUGUACAGCUGUACCAUGCAUUGUGUUUAAAGUAAGUGUUAUUGCAAAAGAAUCAAAAAAUUAAAAAGUUUAUAAAGUAAAGAAGUUACAGUAAGCUAAGGUUAAUUUAUUAUUGGAGAAAGAAAAAUAUUUUUUGUAGCCUAAGUGUACAGUGUUUAUAAAGUCUACUGUAGUGUACAGUAAUGUCCUAGGCCUUCACAGUCACUCACCACUCACUCACUGACUCUCCCAGAGCAACUUCCAGUCCUGCAAGCUCCAUUCAAGGCAAGUGCCCUAUACAAGUGCACCAUUUUUUAUCUUUUAUAUUUGCAUUUUUAUUGUACCUUUUCUACAUUUAGAUAUGUUAAGAUACAAAAAUACUUACCAUUGUGUUACAAUUGCUUACAGUAUUUGGUACAGUAGCAUGCCUACAGGUUUGUAGCCUAGAAGCAAUAGGCUAUAUCAUAGAGCCUAGGUGUGUGGUAAGCCAUACCAUCUAGUUUUGUGUGAGUACACUCUAUGAUGUUUGCACAGUGACAACAUUUCUUAACACAUUUCUUAGAAAGUUUCUCCAUCGUUAAGUGACACACAACUAUAGUAGGAAUAAACUAGCCCAAAUAAUAAGGCUACUCUAGGCCUGCACUAACAAAGCUUAACAGCAAGCUUCAAAAAGAUCAAACAGAUCACACGUAACAUAAACGCCUGCCCCAAAAACGUCAACACUCUCUAAAGGAAGACAACAAAAUAACUCAAUAAUGUAACAUUCCUAGCAUCCAACAUUCAAUAAAAGCUUACUAGAUGUGUCAAGAAGUAGCAAAAUGUAACUCCUAAUCAGGAGCAAUAUCAAUCAAUGGAAACAGACCCAGAAGUGGCAGGCAUGUAAUUAGGAGACAAGGACUUUAAAAGAGCUAUUAUAAAAGCUCAACUACUUAAGAGAAAACAAAGACAUAAAGAAGAAAAAAGUUGAAAAUAUAAGAAGGAGCCACACAAAUAUUCUAGAGGCCUGAGACAUAAUAUCUGAAAUUUUAAAACAUCAUUUAAUGGACUUAAAAGCCAAUUAGAGAUUGUAGAAGAAGAGAUAGGUGUAUUUGAACACAUGCUAAUAGAAAUUGUCCAAAAUCAAGCACAGAAAGCAGAGGCUGAAAAAAAGAAAUGAAUGAGACCCAGUAACAUGUGGGACAGUAUCAAGCAGUAUAAUAUAUGUGUAAUUGGAUCCUCAAAUAAAGACGUGAGAAAGAGAAAGAAAAAAAUAUUUAAAGAAAUAGUGGUUGAACAUAUUCCAAAAUUGAUUUCAAAAAUUAUAAAUCUACAUGUUCAAAAAAGCAUAAAAAGCCCCAAGCAGGAUAAAUAGAAAAAAUACCACAUCUACAAAAAUAAGACCACAUUCUGGGCAAUAAAACACAUCUUAAAAAUGCAAAAGAAUAGAUAUCAUACAGUGUUUGUUCUCAGACCAAAUUCUGGGCAAUAAAACACAUCUUAAAAAUUCAAAAGAGUGGAAAUCAUGCAGUGUUUGUUCUCAGACCACAGUGGAAUUAAACUAGAACUCAAUAACAGAAAAUUACUGGAAAAUCCCAAAAUACAUGGAGAUUAAACAACACACUUCUAAAUAACACAUGGGUCAAAGAAGUAAUUUCAAAACAAAUUUUAAAAUAUCUUGAAAUGAACAUGAAAACAUAACUUAUCAAAAUUUGUGGGAUGCAGCAAAAGCAAUGCUUAGAGGAAAGUUUAUAACACAAUACAUAUAUUAGAAAGAAUAUCUAAAAUCAAUAAUCUAAAUUUACACCUUAAGAAACUAGAAAAAGAAGACCAAAUUAAAUCCAAGGUAAGCAAAAGAAAAUAAAUAAUAAGAAUUAGAGCAGAAAGCAAUGAAAUUGAAAAUAGGAAAUUAAUAGAAAAAAUCAAGAAAACCAAAAGUUCAUUCUUUGAAAAGAUCAAUACAAUUGAUAAGCCUCUAGCCAGGCAAACUAAGGAAAAAAGGGAGAGAGACAUAAUUACUAAUUUCAGAAAUGAGAAAAGGGCCAUCCCUACAAAUCCCACGGAAAUUGAAAGAAUAUAAAGGAAUACCAUGAAUAACUUUAUUCCCACAAAUCUGUUAACCUAGAUGAAAAGCACCUACUCCUUGAAAGAUGUCAUCUGCCAAAACUCAUACAAGAGGAAAUAGACACUGUGAAUAGACCUACAUCUGGUAAAGAACUUGAAUUAAUAAUUAAUAACCUUCCAAAAGAGAAGACACCAGGCCCCAAUGGGUUUACUGGUGAAUUCUACCAAACAUUUAAGGAAGAAAUUACAUCAAUUCUCUACAAACUCUUUCAGAGAAUAAAAACAGAAAGAAUACUUUCUAACUCAUUCUUUGAGGUCAGCAUUACCCUAAUACCAAAACCAGACAAAGACAUUACAAGAAAAAAAGAUACAGACCAAUAUAUUUUAUGAACAUAAAUGUGAAAAUCCUCAACAAAAUAUUAACAAAUCAAAUCCAACAAUGUAUAAAAAUAAUUAUACACAAUGACCAAGUGGAAUAUAUCCAGGUAUGAAAGGCUGAUUCAACAUUCAAAAAUCAAUUAAUGUAAUCCAUCACACCAAUAGGCUAAAAAAGAAAAAAAAUCACAUUAUCAUAUCAAUAUAUGCAGGAAUAGCAUUUGGCAAAAUCUGACACUCACUCCUGAUAAAAACUCUCAGUAAAUUAGUAACAGAGAGAAUCAUCCUCAACCUGCUAAAGAAUAUUUGCAAAACACAUACAGCUAACAUCAUACUUAAUGGUGAGAAACUUGAAGCUUUCCCACUAAGAUCAGGAGCAAGACAAGGAUGUUCCCUCUCAGCACUCCUUUUCAACAUCAUCCUGGAAGUCCUGGCUAAUGCAAUAAGACAGGAAAAUAAAAGAAAAGGUAUAUGGAUUGGAAAGGAAUAAAUAGAACCAUCUUUGUUCACAGAUGAUAUGGUCAUCUAUACAGAACACAAAGAGUUGACAAGAAAUUUGUGAAGCUAAUAAGCAAUUAUAGUAAGGUUGCAGGAUACAAGUUAGUAUACAAAAGUCAAUAACUUUCCAAUAUAUCCUCAAUGAACAAGUGGAAUUUGACAUUAGAGACACAAUACCAUUUACAUUAACACCCCCAAAAAUGAAAUAGUUGGGUACAAAUUUAACAAAAUACGUACGUGAUUUAUUUGAUGAAAACUACAAAACUCUGACGAAAAACAUAAAAGAAGAGCUAAAUAAAUGCAGAGAUAUUUCAUGUUCAUGGGAAGAGAGACAAUAUUGUCAAGGUGUCAGUUCUUCUCAAUUUGAUCUAUAGAUUCAAUGCAAUCCCAAUCAAAAUCUCAUUAAGUUAUUUUGUGGAUAUCAGCAAACUGAUUCUGAAGUUUAUAUGGACAGGCAAAAGUCACAGAAUAGCAAACAUAAUAUUGAAGGAGAACAAAAUUGGAAGACUGACACUGCCCAAUUUUAAGAUUUACUGUAAAGUUACAGUAAUCAAGAGAGUGUGGUAUUGGUGAAGGAACAAAUGGAUCAAUGGAACAGAAUAGGGAGUUCAUAAAUAGGCUCAUAUAAAUAUAGUCAACUAGUCUUUGACAAAGGAGCCAAGGCAAUACAAUGGAGCAUGACAGUCUUUUUGACAUUUGGUGCUAGAACAACUGGACAUCUAUGUGCAAAAAAAAAAUUUUUUAAAGGAGAGAAUCUAGAUACAGACUUUACAUCCUUCACAAAAACCAACACAAAAUGGAAUGAUUGACCUAAAUGUAAAACACAAAACUAUAAGACUCCUAGAAGAUAACACAGGAGAAAAACUAGAUGACCUUGGGUAUGGCAAUGUCUUUUUAGAUACAACACCAAAGUCAUGAUCCAUGAAUGCAAUAGUUGAUAAGCUGGACUUCAAUAAGUUAAAAAUUUCUACUCCAAGAAAAAUACUGAUGAGAGAAUGAAGAGACAAACCACAGACUGGGAGAAAUAUCUGCAAAACACAUAUCAGAGAAAGAACUGUUAAUCUAAAAAUAUGCAAAAAACUCUUAAAACUCAACAAUAAGAAAACAAACUACCCAGUUAAAAAAUAGACCAGAGAUCUUAGCCAACACUUCACCAAAGAAAAUACACUGAUGGCAAAUAAGCAUAUUAAAAGACAUUCUACAUCAUAUGUCAUCAGGGAAAUGCAAAAUAAAGGAACCAUGAGAUACCACCACACACCUAUUAGAAGGGCCAAAAUCUGGAACUCUUACAACACCAAAUGCUGGUGAGAAUGUGGAGCAAAUAGGAACUCUUAUUCAUUGUUGGUGAGAAUGCAAAAUAGUAUGGCUAUUUUGGAACAAUUUUGUGGUUUCUUACAAAACUAAACACCCUUUUACCAUAUGAUCCAGCAAUUGAGCUCCUUGGUAUUUACUCAAAAGAGUUAAAAACUUAUGUCCACAGAAAAACUUGCCUAUAGAUAUUUAUAGAAGCUUUAUUCCUAAUGGCCAAAGCUUGAAAGCAACUAAGAUGUCCUUCAGUAGGUAAAUGGAUAAAUAAACUGUGGUGUGUCCAGACUAUGGAAUAUUAUUUAGUGCUAAAAAGAAAUGAGGUAUCAAACCAUGAGAAGACAUGGAAGAAACUUAAGUGUAUAUUACUAAGUAAAAAAGUUAAUCUGAGAAGGUUACAUACUGUGUAAUUCCAACUAUUUGACAUUCUGAUAUAAAUAGGUGGAGCACAGAGGAUUUUUAGGGCAGUGAAAAUACUCUGUAUGAUACUAUAAUGAUGGAUUCCUGUCAUUAUACAUUUGUCCAAACCCCAAGGCUAUACAAUAACAAGAGUGAACCUUAGUAUAAACUAUGGACUUUGGAUGAUUAUGAUGUGUCAAUUUAGGUUCAUCAUUGUAGCACAUGUACCACUCUGAUGUGGGAUGUUAAUAACGGGGGAGACUAUGCAUGUGUGGAGGGAGGGGGUAUAUAAGAAUCUCUGUACAUUACUCUUAAUUUUCCUGUGAAUCUAAAACUGCUCUAAACAUUAGUCAUUAAAAAAAAUGCCACACCAAGUGUGAUAGCUAAUGUCCAAGAUGGCUCUCAAUGAUCUUCAUCUGCUGAUAUUUCUGUCCUUGUGUAUUUCCCUCCUAUUCAAAAUAGUGCUGAGCUGUGUGAUCAAGUGGAUAUUGUAGAGAUAAUGGCAUGUGAUUUAUGAGUCUAGGUCAUAAGAGAUACUACAGCUUCUGCCUAGCUCUCUUUUGAAUCAUUGGCUGUGGGAGAAGCCAGCUACGAUGUCAUGAGGAUACUCAAGCAGUUCUAUGGAGAGACCCAUACGGAAAGGAACUGAAACGUCCUACCCAAGUCAGCACCAACUUGCCAGCCACGUGAAUGAGCCAUCUUGGAAGCAGAUUCUUCAGCCCCAGUCAAACCUUCACGUUACUGCAGCCCCAAGAAACAUAGUGACUGAAACCAUCAUAAUAGAUCCACAACAAAACCACCCAGGUUUGUCUUAUGCAUAUGAUGCCACCACAGCAUGGCUUGAUGAGCGGUGUGUAGGGCCAGAACAGGAUCUGAACCCAUGAACCCCAGGCCCCUGAAGCAGAGCGUAUGAACUUAACCACUAUGCCACUGGGCUGGCCCGAGUAAUUUUUUAAUAUGCUGCUGGAUUCUGUUUGCAACUAUUUUAUUUGGGAUUUUAUAUUAAUAUACAUAAGUGAAAUUGAUCUUCUGAGCUUUUUGUUCAAUCUUUUAUAAGUUUUUAAAUCAAUGCUAUACUUGCAUUAUAAAAUGUUUUGGAAGCAUAUCUUCUUUCUCUGUGGCCAACAAGAGUUUAAAUUGCAUUGCAGUUCUCUAUUCUUUAAAUGUUUAGUAAAUUCCUCUCUGUAUCUAUCAAACUCACUGCUUCUUAGGCGGGGAUGUAUCUUCAAUAGUUUUCUCUAUUUUUCCUGUGAUAAUGGUAGGAUGACGUUUUUAUCUCCUCUGGGUCAGUUGUGGUCAUUUAUACUUUUCUAGGAAAUUAUACAUCACAUCUGGAUUCUCAAAUUUAUUUUUAUAAACAUGAACACAGAAAGUCUUGAAACUCCUUUAUUUUCUUCUGUAUAUGUGUCUAUUUCACUAGUGUCAGUUUUUAUCUUCUACUUGUGCUUUCUUCCUUUUUCUCUUGUUUAGGUAACUCACACAUCUUUAAAAGAUUUUCCUCCAAUGAGCCAGCUGUUGGAUUUAUUAUAUCUAUAUUAUCUACUUCUUAACUUACUCAUUUCUGUUUUAUUCUCAUUUUCUUUCUUC
rnacentral:lncRNA from 1 species